rnacentral:rRNA from 1 species
GACGUAGGGCGCGAGCGUUGUCCGGAUUUAUUGGGCGUAAAGAGCUCGUAGGCGGCUUGUUGCGUCGACUGUGAAAACCUGCGGCUCAACCGUGUGGUCUGCAGUCGAUACGGGCAGGCUGGAGUUCGGUAGGGGAGACUGGAAUUCCUGGUGUAGCGGUGAAAUGCGCAGAUAUCAGGAGGAACACCGGUGGCGAAGGCGGCAUCCUGGACCGACACUGACGCUGAGGCGCGAAAGCUAGGGGAGCAAACGGG